UACGUAGGUCCCGAGCGUUGUCCGGAUUUAUUGGGCGUAAAGCGAGCGCAGGUGGUUUAUUAAGUCUGGUGUAAAAGGCAGUGGCUCAACCAUUGUAUGCAUUGGAAACUGGUAGACUUGAGUGCAGGAGAGGAGAGUGGAAUUCCAUGUGUAGCGGUGAAAUGCGUAGAUAUAUGGAAGAACACCAGUGGCGAAAGCGGCUCUCUGGUCUGUAACUGACGCUGAGGUUCGAAAGCGUGGGUAUCAAACAGG
rnacentral:rRNA from 1 species